CUGAGAGGCCACAUGGUGCUGUGGAUGGAUCUGUCAAUGGCAAAAAGCAUCUGCAGCCUGUCUCAACACCUCCUGGAGCUGCUGCCUGACGCAGAUGGAGACGUGAUGGUGGUGACCCUCUCUGUGCUGGUGAAUGAGCUCCAGGGUGAAGACAUUCAGGCGAUCCUCUCCACUGCCCCCAAGCUGGCUGAGGCUCUCCGGCCUCUCUUUGAGAAGCUGUACUCCU